GACGCCAGGCGACGGGUUUUUGGCAGGAGAGGGAGGCCCGGGAUAUCCACCGUGCCGGAGCAAUCUGGCUCCACCACGUCCUCGGAGUAGCGUCAUCUCAUGCCCUUCGAGCGAUUGCGCAUGAGCAUCAUCACCUGCACGCAAGAAUAUGAACGAUAAUCUUUGAAAGAGGUUGUCGCCAGCCAAGGAAAGCAGUACAGAUGCAGCUCCUUUGCCGAUCUAAAUAGAUCCUAAUGAUCGAUCGUUAUUUGUUUACAACGAUAGAAACAGUUACGAUGGUAAAAGAUCAACAACAAUCUUACGGGAAUAGGAAGAGAGUUCGUAUAUACCAUGGGCUGCACCAGUGAGGAGGUGGGCGACUCUUGAAUCAGCUCCAGGGGAAAAGGAGACGAGUAGUACAAGCAACACAGCCAUGCAAAGGCGUCUCUUCUGAUCCAUUAUCUACUACACUUGAUGCACUCUGUUUCUUUCUCGUUGCGGGUUCAAUGUUGAGUCCGGAGGAC
rnacentral:lncRNA from 1 species